rnacentral:rRNA from 1 species
AUACGAAGGGGGCUAGCGUUGUUCGGAAUUACUGGGCGUAAAGCGCACGUAGGCGGAUAUUUAAGUCAGGGGUGAAAUCCCAGAGCUCAACUCUGGAACUGCCUUUGAUACUGGGUAUCUUGAGUAUGGAAGAGGUAAGUGGAAUUCCGAGUGUAGAGGUGAAAUUCGUAGAUAUUCGGAGGAACACCAGUGGCGAAGGCGGCUUACUGGUCCAUUACUGACGCUGAGGUGCGAAAGCGUGGGGAGC